UAUUGUUGAGCCUGCAGAAACAAGCAAGCAAAGAACAAGAUCUAUGGAGGAAUCAAGAUGCAGAACCUGAUGAUGACAAGAUGUAGAGAAAAGGUAAAAGACUGUGUUUGCCAUGAGUAUUGUACCCUAUGAUGGCUGAAGUAGCCCAGGGACCCACACAUUUAUCCAAGAUGAACAUGAACUGUAUAGUGAAUACCCACUGGGUGGCACCUGGGUUUACUGUUGUAGCAGCUAAGCAUACCCG